GCUUCAGUGGCUGAAGUGGUUAAAGUGUCCACCUUGAAUGCAGGAGGUUGUGGGUUUAAACCCUGGCUGAGUCA